AGCAAAAAGCAUGAGCACCAUCAUUUUGUGCCAGAUCCAUUUAUGACUCAAGGUCCAACAAGGAAUAGAUGGAGAAUAUGAAGAGAAAGCAGGAGAAAAAGAGGAAAAAGCAACAUCCUGGGGGAGUGUAUGGUCUUAUUUCUGGAGGGAAAGGAGUCUGUACUUGGAUGUGAAAUGAAACAGUUCCUGGGGAUGAUGAGGCUGAUUGCAGUUGAAAUGUUUUUACGACAAGCUGGGUGUCAUCAAUCCUUGUAAAUAUGUGACUUGUAAUCACUAUUUUGGAAGAAAAAGUUACAUCAGCUCAUUUUCAGUCUUGCCAUAAUCCAUGGUAAUUUGGAGUGGUCAGAAUCUAAUCAGGCCCACUUUUGAUAGACUUUCAAAAUAAGGUGUCUUCUCAGCUCUCCAGCCUCACACGGCACCCACAUUGAAGAAGCUAGGAACUUACAGCAGAACCUCAAAAUAAAACGCCCCCCCCCGUUCUAUUAGAAGGUGAUUGUCCACACUAUAUUUUUUAUUCUCCAGAUUCCUUUCCACAGUGGACA